GACAACCGGCGACCAUUAACAGUCCACUUUUGUCAUGCCUAUUGUGCCACCCACAGGGUGAGUCCUUCAUAGACUGCCUAACUGUCCAUGCACAGACAUAUUGGAUUGGGCUCACAAGUCAACACCAUCCACGCAGCCCACAGUUUGGCCCAUUGACUACUGUACCCAGAGCCAGAGUCCAACUAUGUGCUGGUGGUCAAAAGCUGGAUGGAAA